UUGCGGAAGAAAUAAUUAAAAGCCAAAAUAACCGAAUGAAACAGUAUUUAAAAUGCCGUUCGACAUAUACAAUACAACUUCUCAAAAACUAAUACACUUUCCCAAAACCUGAAAUCUCAUGAAACCACAAGCCUUUGAAUAUCUAACAGUGUCUAACUCCAAAAUAUCUACCAAGAAAAAGAAAUACAGAAGGGAUAAUACUUAAAAGCGAGAAUAGAAAGGGACUCCUCAGUCUGCGGACGCGGCAGAUAUACCUCGAAGUCUCUGGGGUAGUCGCCUCGCCUCAAGGGUGAUAGGACUGGGUCGAAAUACCUGGAUCUGCACAUGAAAAAUAUGUGUAGAAAGGGCAUGAGUACACCACAACGGUACUCAGUAAGUGCCAAGCCUAACCUCGGUCAAGUAGUAACGAGGAAGGUCAAGGCCCUACUGAGGUUAAAUAAAAUAUAAAGUUCGACAGUGUAGAACAGAACAUUAUAAAUAAGUACGACAGUAAAACUAAUACAGGAUAUAAAGGACAAUAACAACUAUUAUAGAGGCAAAGUACACAGAAAGAAAUACGGCUCAGUACCAAAAAUAACAAUCGGGGACCUCCCAGGAUAUCAUCUUGUAGUCCCAAAUAUACAGGUCCAAUAGGUCUCUCGGGAUACCGUCCCGUAGUCCAAAUCAUAGUGCACGGGGUUCUACCAUAAUUCCGUUCCGUAGUCCUAAAUGUAAAUACCCAGUACUGGGGAAAUCUACCAGGUGCAUUCCCGUAGUUCCAUAUAAUUGUGCAGGGCGAUUUACCUGAAUCCCACGUCCGUAGUCCCAAAUGUAAACAAACAAGGGAGGGGGGAGGGAGCUACCAAAAUCCCACAUCCGUAGUCCCAAUGUAAAUACACAGCAGCAACAGAAAAAAUAUUCAGAAAUGUCAAAUAUCAUAUUAAGGCAAACUAGUAAUUCUAGCCUAAUAUACUGCACAUAAUUCAUGUAAGGCAGUUUGAGAAAAUACAACAAUUAAAUCACUUAGACAUGCUUUCCUAAGCUAACAUCAGACUUAAUAGUGCAAGUAAUAAAAACAGGAAAGGAGACAUACUAGUAAUUACUUAAUGAAAAACCAGAUUUCCAACAAUUAGCAUAAGUACGCACUCGUCACCUCACGUACAAGGCAUCUCAAUUACCAAAUAUACCAAAUCCUAAGUGGAAGGUCCCCCACACAAGUUUAGGCAAGUCACUUACCUCGAACCAGCUCAAAUUAAUCCGAGACCACGCUUUUGCCAUGAGUACUCGACUCCAAAUGGCCCAAAUCUAAUUUCAUAAUGUAAAUAACACUUCAAGUAACUGAUUCUACAAGGAAAUUCUAAGCUAAUGCGCGAAAUUAGGUAAAAUAACCAAAACGCCCCUCGGGCCCUCAUCUCGGAACUAGGUAAAAUUUACAUUUCCAGAAACCCCACACUCUCACGAGUUCAGUCAUACAAAAAGUACCAAAAUCGGACCUUAAAUGGUCCCUCAAAUCAUCACUCAAAUGUCUCUAAUUAGUCAAGCCCUAACCCCCAAUUUACCACUGAUCUUCCUUAAUUUUUCAUGCUUAAAUUGAUAAAAAUCCUUCCAAUAACGAGUUUAGUGACCAAAGACCUUACUCCAAUGAACUCCUCUGAAAAUCCCUCUUGAAAAGUGCUCCCCAAGCUUCUUCCCAUUUGAAAAGAGGUGAAAAUGGCUAAAUUUCGCGAAGGCAAGAAUUUAUAUGUUUCUGCCCAGUUAUUCCGCCUCUAUAGCCCUGGGACCGCAUCUAUAGUCCCGCUUCUGCGAGGACAUGGUCGCAUCUGCGACUUUUGACUUAAAGCCCAGGUUCCGCAGAUGCGGUACCGCUCAUGCGGAAAUUCUACCGCUUCUGCGGCUCCUGCUAAACCUCCGCAUUGUUGCUUCUGCGAUGCUAAAUGUCGCUUAUGCGGCUCCACACCUGCGGUCCCACACUCACAGGUGCAGUUAUGACAGAAAACCAGCUGAAGCUACAACUCCAAAUUCCAAAAUCCUUCCGUCAAUCAUCCGAAAUCAUCCCGAGGUCCCCGGUACCUCAACCAAAGGCACCAACAAUUCUAAUACCACUGUCCAAACUUAUACCAAUCCUUAAAACACCUAAAACAACAUCGAAACGAUGAAUCAACCAUGGAUUCAAGCCUAACAAUUCCGAAACUCUAAAAAGACGCUUUUGAUCAAAAAGUCUAUCAAACCUCAUCUGAAUGACCUGAAAUUUUGUACACACGUCACAUUUAACGCUACGGAGCUACUCCAACUUGCGGAAUUCCAUUCCGACCCUCUGAUAAAAAAUCUCACUAUCGGACCGGAAACUUCAAAAAUUCGACUUUCGGCAUUUCAAACCUAAAUUAGCUGCGGACCUCCAAAACACAAUCCCAUCAUGUCCUAAGCACGAAAUCACUCAACUAAGCUAACAGAACUAACAAAAUUCCAUUCCGAGGUUGUGUUCACACUGCACCGACUACGAUCCAAUUUCUAGAACUUAAACUCUCAUUUAGGGACUAACUUUCCCAAAACUUUCCGGAACUCAAAAUCGAACAUCCCGACAAAGCAAAAUAGCAUAAAUAAACAUGGAGAAAGCUAUUAAUAGGGGACGGGGCAUUAAUUCUUAAGAUGACUGGCCGGGUCGUCAUAAUUCUGGUUAAUAAGGAAAUUAACAUGCUUGAACUAUUGCCAAGAAAACUUAGUCGAAAUAAGAAAAUAGAAGAUUGGCUGUCGAUUUCCAGAAUUGAACUCCAAACAAUACUGCGUUUUCAAAAUUUUAAAGCAAAUCCUAGCAUUAAACUCACAAACACACAAGAAUUUAGCAAAAAAUUCAUAAAUUAGUCCCCCAAAUCUCAUCAUAAAUAGGCAGGGUUUUACUCAUAUCACGUGAAUAUUUAUUUAACUAGCAAGCCAUGAGUCUCAAAGAAAGACAAAAAUUCAUCAUUCAAGAAAUACUAAUCAUUAUUACAGAGUGGUAUGAAUAUACCUAGUUAGUAGGAAGAGAACGAUAUUGUGAUUGCCAAAUAAAGGCUAAAACGAAGGAAGAUGGAGUUCAACUAUGAUUAGCAGACAGCAGAAAGUAGCUUUAAUCUUCGGUCGAAAACCAAAUUGAAAUCCAGAAAAUAGUGAUGAAAAGAUCCUCAAAUCCAAGCAUCAAAUUCCCUCUUUCAAAACCAGAUUUUAUGCCUUUUUUCCUAAAUCUUCCAGUUGAAAAUCUAAGAUUCUCCAAUGAUAAUUCAGAGAGAAAGAUCAAAAGCUUUUUUAUUUUUUGUGGAAUUGAGAAAGAAGGUAUGAGUGGCUCGUUCUCUAAGAAUGCAGAGUGAAUGAAUUAGGGUGGAGUGAGGCAUCGGCUAAUGGGUGUAGAGGAAGAAGGGCUCCUAGGUUUUUUUUAGGGAGGGGGUCCGAUCUGUUGUUCUAGAGAAUGGGGAAAAGGGAUUUUUAAUGGGUGG
rnacentral:lncRNA from 1 species